ensembl:lncRNA
GGAAUCAAACCCUCAUCUCCUGCAUUGGCAGGGGGAUUCUUUAGCAGUGUACCACAUGGGAAGCUCAUCUUUAAUGGUGUAUAAUCUGGAUCAACCUGGAGGGGCGAACCACAUUUGUGUCAUUAUAGCACAGCAUUGGACUAGGAACAGGAGAGAAAACAGGCAGAUCCUAUCUGGGAAGGAACUCCUAGGUGUAUAAUCUGGGUCAACCUGGAGGGGCGAACUGCAUUUGUGUCAUUACAGCACAGCAUUGGACUAUGAACAGAAAGAAAAAAGC